GCCAGGCGUGGUGGCUCACGCCUGUAAUCCCAGCUACUGGGGAGGCUGAGGCAGGAGAAUCACUUGAACCCGGGAGGCGGAGGUUGCAGUGAGCUGAGAUCGCGCCACUGCACUCCAGCCUGGGCAACAGAGUGAGACCCUGUCUCAA
rnacentral:SRP_RNA from 1 species